GGAGUUCUUCAUUCCCACAUCUGUGGACCUUAAAAUCCUACCGUUGAGUGCCUGCCUUGGAUCAGCAGUCAGUUCGUUACCUUGGUUCUCAGACGAUGCUUGCAACAACGCCAUGCGAUUCGCCCACUCUUGGAGAAAAUAAGAGAAGUAUCCCUGAAGGAUGAAAUAUCCUCGAAUAUGAAAAGGUCUGCUCUCUGAAGACCAACUGUCUCAGUCUGCUUUUUGCUGCUGUAACAGAAUACCACAGACUUGGUUACAUUAGUUAUACACUCUGGAGGUGACUUGACCUGUCAUUGUGAACAAUUAUUGCUCUUGGACGACCCAGGACAUAGGCCAGCCAGUACGUACCCCAGUGUGUUGGAGAAUCGCGCUCGGCUUCUUCCUCUGUGCUGAGUCAUGAAAGUUGCCGGAGCAGGUGCAGUUACACAACCUCCAGGUAUGAUCCUGUUUAAGGACUGGAUUUAGGAUAACUACUUAGAGGUUAAAAGUCACAAGGGUGUAUGGAUGAGGCUGGAGUGAUCUGGGACCAAAGACAUCUAGGCUUGCUGUCAAGGCUUCUGAUCAACAUGAGAUGACCGCCGUGUGGUAAACUGAUGAACC
rnacentral:lncRNA from 10 species